ensembl:rRNA 5S_rRNA 5S ribosomal RNA
GUCUCCGGCCACACCACUCUGAACGCGCCCGAUCUCGUCUGAUCUCGGAAGCUAAGCAGGGUCGGGCCUGGUUAGUACUUGGAUGGGAGACCACCUGGGACUACCGGGUGCUGUAGGCU